GUGGCGGACGGGUGAGUAAUGUCUGGGAAACUGCCUGAUGGAGGGGGAUAACUACUGGAAACGGUAGCUAAUACCGCAUAACGUCGCAAGACCAAAGAGGGGGACCUUCGGGCCUCUUGCCAUCAGAUGUGCCCAGAUGGGAUUAGCUAGUAGGUGGGGUAACGGCUCACCUAGGCGACGAUCCCUAGCUGGUCUGAGAGGAUGACCAGCCACACUGGAACUGAGACACGGUCCAGACUCCUACGGGAGGCAGCAGUGGGGAAUAUUGCACAAUGGGCGCAAGCCUGAUGCAGCCAUGCCGCGUGUAUGAAGAAGGCCUUCGGGUUGUAAAGUACUUUCAGCGGGGAGGAAGGCGAUAAGGUUAAUAACCUCGUCGAUUGACGUUACCCGCAGAAGAAGCACCGGCUAACUCCGUGCCAGCAGCCGCGNAAUACGAG
rnacentral:rRNA from 1 species